rnacentral:snRNA from 1 species
GUGCUUGCUUAGGCAGCACAUGUACUAACACUGAAAUAAUACAGGGAAGAUUAGCAUGGGAUGAUACACAAAUUUGUGAAAUAUUCCAUAUUUUU